rnacentral:lncRNA from 1 species
CUAAGGGUUUGUAAAUGCACCAAUCAGCACUCUGUGUCUAGCUAAAGGUUUGUAAAUACAUCAAUCAGCACUCUGUGUCUAGUUAAUCUGGUGAGGACUUGGAGAACUUUUGUGUCUAGCUGAAGGAUUGCAAAUGCACCCAGCAGCACUCUGUGUCUAGCUAAAGGAUUGUAAACACACCAAUCAGCACUCUGUCAAAACAGACCAAUCAGCUCUCUGUAAAACGGACCAAUCAGUUCUCUGCAAAAUGGAACAAUCAGUUCUCUGCAAAAUGGAACAAUCAGCUCUCUGUAAAAUGGACCAAUCAGCAGGAUGUGGGUGGGGCCAGAUAAGGGAAUAAAACCAGGGCACUUGAGCCAGCAGCAGCAACCUGCUCAGGUGCCCUUCCACCUUGUUCUUCUGCUCUUUGCAAUAAAUUUUACUGCUGCUCAUUCUUUGGGUCCGCACUGCCUUUAUGAGGUAUAACACCGUGAAGGUUGGCAGCCUCACUUCUAAAGCCAGCGAGACCACAAACCCACCAGGAGGGACAAACAACUCUGGACGUGCCACUUUAUGAACUGUAACAGUCAGUGCAAAGGUCUGCAGCUUCACUCCUGAGGCUAGCGAGACCAGGAACCCACCAGAAGGGACAAACAACUCCAGACGCCUCACCUUAAAAGCUGUAACACUUACAGUGAAGCUCUGCAGCUUCACUCAAACCCAGCGAGACCACGAACCCACCAGAAGGAAGAAACUCCGAACACGUCCGAACAUCACAAGGAACAAACUCCAGAUACCAUCUUUAAGAACUGUAACACUCACUGCAAGGUCCGCACCAAUUCUGGACACAAUAGUACACUUCCCAACAGUAUUUUAAAUUUGUUUUAGUAUUGCCAAUUUGAUAGGCAAAUAAAUGUCGUAAUUUAAAAUGAGAAAUGGGGAAAACAGCUAACCUAAACUAUUACGGAAAGGGAAAUAGCAAGUGCUCCAUAAAUGAGUGAGAGAAGGAGGGUGACUGAGGAUCAGAGAUAUUUAGCAAUUCUGGGUAAAUCUCAAAAGAUUCAUGAAGUUUUGCACUGAUAAGAGCUGGUUAGCCUUCCAUUUUUAUUCCAUAUUGGUCCAGGGAUAGAAUAAAUAGAACCUCAAAAGUCCAAAUGGGAAAAAUUAUAUCCCAAUUUUAUUAACUUUAUAAUAGUAUUACCAACAACUAUAAUCUUGUCACCAAUAGGAAUCUUAAGAGUAUUCAUAUAAUUUUAAGUUGUAGACUUACUGUAAUGCUCAGUACUUGAAAAUUACGGUAGUUAGUUCAUACUCUAGAUCUUAUUUAAUGUUAAUAAACCAUAUAUAUCCAUUUAUAAAUCUAUUUUUAAAACAUCUUGUUAAAUAUAUUUCAAUAUUGUUGGUUUUCAUAAUAAUUUUAUGCAUUUUACUAUAGGAAUUUAAACAUAAAGAAGUUUACAAAUCUCUAGCUUUCAUCCCUAGAUGAAAAGUUAUCCUGAGAAGAAUGAGAAUUGGAUUAAAGUUUAAAGUGUGCGCAGACUUUAAGUAUGUUGUGGAUUAGAUUAUUUGCUCAGAUAGUUUUAAAUUAUUGCUGUUUUAAAACAUUUUAAUUUGAUACCCCUUCAUUUUAUAUUUUUUAUUUUACAUUUUUAAAAAAUUUAGCAUUUCACUUUGUGUUCAACUAGUACCUUCUUCUAAAAUGAGGAAUAGAAUUAAGUAAGAUUUUUGAAUGCUUCAUUUGUCUUGUACAUUUUUCACUGAUGUGUUGGGAAUAUUCUAAGGAAAGAAUGGAACAAUUUGCGAUUCUAGUUAGACUGUUGUAGAACUUAAUUUGCUGUACUGUAAUCAACAUGUUUUUUAUUCUUUUAAUGCAAAUUUAAAGUUAAAAGAAGAAAACUGUACUGAAGAAAGUAACCAAUAGUCCAUUAGUAAAUCGGGUGAUAAAAUGUUUGAAGUGAAGAACCAAAGUUGGCCUGGAAAUAAAUAUACAUUUUUAAAUACAGAACUUGACAUUGUAAUGUGCUCCUGUGAAUUAUUGGUAAUAAAAUAGAGCAAUUCUUUAAAAGAUGAGAAAUGCAUAUAGACCUAUGAAUUAGACAAUAUCCGGAGAAACACAUUAGAAACUUCACUUUAAUCCUUUAGGCUUUUGUGACAUACACAAUGAAAACACAAUGAAAACAAGAUACAUACCGUGAUAUUAAAAUACUCAGAGUUCUGAUAUUAAGAACAGACAAGAAUACUAAUAAAAUCUUCAUGUGGUAAUUAAAAUAUAUAUAUAUAUGUAUCACGUAUAUUGUGGCACCAAAUAAAGAUAAAUAAAUUGUGCUUGUUUGUGGCAGAAAAGGGAAUUAACAGAACAUUUGUCUCCAAAAUGAACAUUUGUAUCCAAAAUUAUUUGAGAUGGUUUACAAAUUGAACAUGUUAGAAAACAGGAAAUUUGGUAAUAGAAACUAAACAAAACAUCUAAAUCAAAGGAGUAGAUAACAGUGGAGUUUAGUUCAUUAGUACAAUUGGCUUCACUUUUCCUGUUGCAUAGGGUAAAAAAGAAAAUCUGUUUACUUAGAUUAGCUAUUACUAGUGGAAUAUUUUACUGUUUGCUUAUAUUAGCUUUAUUCUAUAGGAUAUCAUCUAAAAGAUACUUCCAGAAAAAAUAAUCUGUGAUAAAAAUAUUGAGGAAAUUUGGCAAAGAGUGGGACUAGCUUUGAGACUAUGUAUAUUCGACUUAAAGAAUUCUUACUGUAAUGAAAAUUGUACUAAUUCUAUUGCAAAUGACAUCCAUAUCCUGAAGAACUAGUAUUUCAUGGAACAUAUUCUGGAUAUACUCGUUUGAUAGUCUUCAAUUAAUGAUACAUACAAUAAGCCCAUAUGUUUGCAUGAUCACAUUUUCCUAGUUAAUAAACUGUUUUGAAUAAAGUAGCCAGAGUAAAGUCUAA